rnacentral:rRNA from 1 species
AUUGAACGCUGGCGGCAGGCCUAACACAUGCAAGUCGAGCGAGCGGCGGACGGGUGAGUAAUGUCUGGGAAACUGCCUGAUGGAGGGGGAUAACUACUGGAAACGGUAGCUAAUACCGCAUACCAUCAGAUGUUCCCAGAUGGGAUUAGCUAGUAGGUGGGGUAACGGCUCCCCUAGGCGACGAUCCCUAGUUGGUCUGAGAGGAUGACCAGCCACACUGGAACUGAGACACGGUCCAGACUACUACGGGAGGCAGCAGAGGGGAAUAUGGAGCAAUGGGCGCAAGCAUGAUGCAGCCAUGCCGCGUGUGUGAAGAAGGCGUUCGGGUUGUAAAGCAGUUGCAGGGGGGAGGCGGUACCCGCAGAAGAAGAACCGGCUAACUCCGUGCCAGCAGCCGCGGUAAUUC